UGGGGAAUUUUGGACAAUGGGCGCAAGCCUGAUCCAGCCAUGCCGCGUGCGGGAAGAAGGCCUUCGGGUUGUAAACCGCUUUUGUCAGGGAAGAAAUCUUCUGAGUUAAUACCUCGGGAGGAUGACGGUACCUGAAGAAUAAGCACCGGCUAACUACGUGCCAGCAGCCGCGGUAAUACGUAGGGUGCAAGCGUUAAUCGGAAUUACUGGGCGUAAAGCGUGCGCAGGCGGUUUUGUAAGACAGAGGUGAAAUCCCCGGGCUCAACCUGGGAACUGCCUUUGUGACUGCAAGGCUUGAGUGCGGCAGAGGGGGGAUGGAAUUCCGCGUGUAGCAGUGAAAUGCGUAGAUAUGCGGAGGAACACCGAUGGCGAAGGCAAUCCCCUGGGCCUGCACUGACGCUCAUGCACGAAAGCGUGGGGAGCAAACAGGAUUAGAUAGCCCUGGUAGUCCACGCCCUAAACGAUGUCAACUGGUUGUUGGGAAGGUUCCUUCUCAGUAACGUAGCUAACGC
rnacentral:rRNA from 1 species